rnacentral:rRNA from 1 species
AGUGAACGCUGGCGGUAGGCCUAACACAUGCAAGUCGAACGGCAGCACAGUAAGAGCUUGCUCUUACGGGUGGCGAGUGGCGGACGGGUGAGGAAUACAUCGGAAUCUACUUUUUCGUGGGGGAUAACGUAGGGAAACUUACGCUAAUACCGCAUACGACCUACGGGUGAAAGCAGUGGAUCUUCUGACCUUGCGCGAUUGAAUUAGCCGAUGUCGGAUUAGCUAGUUUGCGGGGUAAAGGCCCACCAAGGCGACGAUCCGUAGCUGGUCUGCGAGGCUGAUCAGCCACACUGGAACUGAGACACGGUCCAGACUCCUACGGGAGGCAGCAGUGGGGAAUAUUGGACAAAGGGCGCAAGCCUGAUCCAGCCAUACCGCGUGGGUGAAGAAGGCCUUCGGGUUGUAAAGCCCUUUUGUUGGGAAAGAAAAGCAGCAGGUUAAUACCCCGCUGUUCUGACGGUACCCAAAGAAUAAGCACCGGCUAACUUCGUG